CUCUGUCUACCUGCGGAAUCACUUCAUUCCAGCUGAUUCCCCAGCUCCCCUGGGGCAGCCCUCGCCCUCAGAGAGACUGAGGAGUGCAUGAGUCAGCACAUUCCUUCUCUGCCUCACCUCGCCUGCCUGCCUGGGAUCAGAAUCAGCCAACACCCAUUCCAAACACACUGGUUACACGGUCCCACCUCCACCCAGCUCUGCUGCCAGAGUGGCACCUGGUUUGCCACACCCUCGCUGCAGCCUUAACCCUCCCACGGAAGCACAGAAGCAGAUCCACCUCCACUGAAAGCACCUCCAACUCUCAGGAGUCAGAAACGCAAACCCACUUCUCUGAUGACCACUAUGACCACAGACAUUCCACAGCAGAGGCAGCCCUUCAAGCCAGGACCUCCUGGGCAGAUGCUGGAGGCAGUGCCGCUGCCUAUUCCCUUGGCAGUUGGGCCUGGGGGUAAGAGGUGACCGGUGAUGAUGCUGGAACCUGAACACUGUUCCCCAAAGGCAGGGCCAAGAAGAGUGCUUUCAAAUGCCGCCACAAGUUCCAGCUUGCAGGCUUCCUGGAAGGUGUUCUCUCUAGAGGCAGGGCCCCUGCUGUCACCUCUGUGAUCUCUCACGCUUUGUGCUCCAGUGACUCUGAACACACAGGGCAGCCUCACC
rnacentral:lncRNA from 13 species